GUUCUCAUACUCAUGUCACAUGAGAACUCAUGGUUGGAAUAAUGCAAAGUAGUCCUUUGACCUGAGGCAUCACAGUUGUCUUGUGGUUAAGUCCUUGAUCUUUUAUUAUGUCAAAGUCACCCCAUCGGGAUGUCCAUGGCAUCGUUGGGGUUAAGCCACUUAGCCAUGGAGGCAAGUGAAUGCGCAACAAGGGAUCUCUAACCUUCAAACUGUUUGAGGGAGAAUACUCUAUGAUAUGAUUUAGAAUCUCUGGCUAGAGUAUGAAUGAGAUUUAGAAAAGUCGUUCUAAAUCACAUUCAAGGUAAUUAUAUAAGCACACGAAUCACAUUGGAUAGUAGACAUGAAUAAAUAAACUAUCAAACCAAACAAU
rnacentral:lncRNA from 1 species